rnacentral:rRNA from 1 species
AUGGACAGACACAGAGAGGACUUUAAGAGGCUGGAUGAGUUUAGCCCUAGAUCAUCUGUACAAUCUGAAAUUGGUGGGAGGAGCAGCCUGAGGUUCAGCAUGCCUGGGUUCGGUUAUGAUUCGUUUAAUCCACUAAGAUCAUUCAUGUCAGGGCUGAGAAAGAGUUCUGGAAGACUGAAAUCACUUAGGCACCCCAAUCCAUCUGGUGCUCCUAAGACAGCUUUUGCGGAAGAUCUUAAAUCUUUUAAGAAGAAUAUAUUUGAUCCCCAGCAAAAGUUCCUGCUGCGAAUGAAUAGAUUUUUCUUCCUGUCAUGUAUUUUCGCUGUUGCAGUUGAUCCACUCUUCUUCUUCCUACCCAUCAUCGACAACUCAAAUUGCAUCGGUAUAGAUAAGAAAUUGGCAGUGACAUCAACAGUAGUACGGACUAUUAUUGACUCUGUCUAUCUUAUCCGUGUGUUUCUUCAAUUCCGCACCGCUUAUGUUGCUCCAUCUUCUCGAGUGUUUGGAAGUGGCGAGCUUGUGAUUGAUCCAACGCUAAUUGCGAUGCGUUACAUUAAGAGUUACUUUCUAAUGGACUUCUUUGCACUGUUACCACUUCCACAGAUUGUUGUUUGGAGAUAUCUCCACAGUUCUGAUGGUCCAGAUGUGCUGGCUACAAAAGAUGCACUGGUUUGGGUUGUCCUGUGCCAAUACAUUCCAAGGUUGCUAAGGAUAUUCCCUGUGACCAAAGAUUUGAAAAGGACAGCUGGUGUUUUUAUUGAGACUGCAUGGGCUGGUGCUGGUUACUAUCUUCUCUGGUUUAUGCUUGCUGGCCAUAAUGUUGGUACUCUGUGGUACUUCUUAUCCAUAGAGCGCAAAGAUAGUUGCUGGCUUGUCAACUGUCAUGCCACAGAUGGUUGUGAACCCAGCUACUUGUAUUGUAGUGAGAAUCAUGCUAGCAGUGACAAGUACAAAAAUUGGAGUACGAGUACCCCAAUAUUUAAUCAGUGCAAUGGCACUAAUGAUUCUUUCAAUUUUGGUAUCUAUCAGCAAGCAUUGGUGUCUGGAAUACUUGGUCCAGGAAAUUUUGUCUCUAAAAGUUGUUAUUGCUUCUGGUGGGGAUUACAAAAUUUAAGUACCCUUGGCCAAGGGUUUGUAACAAGUACAUAUCCCUGGGAGGUGUUAUUCUCCAUUGCAAUAUGCAUCCUUGGACUGAUUCUCUUUGCGCUCCUCAUCGGUAACAUGCAGACCUACCUUCAAUCAGUUGCUAUACGCCUUGAAGAGAUGAGAGUUAAGAAGCGUGAUGCUGAGCAGUGGAUGCAUCACCGAUCGCUGCCGCCGGAUAUCAGAGAACGAGUAAGGCGGUAUGAACGGUAUAGGUGGUUGGAGACCAGAGGAGUAGAUGAAGAAAAUUUGGUUCAAACCCUUCCAAAAGACCUUAGGAGGGACAUCAAACGCCAUCUCUGUUUGGGUUUAGUGAAAAGGGUACCUUUGUUUGAGAAUAUGGAUGAAAGACUACUAGAUGCAAUAUGCGAGCGAUUAAGACCUGCACUCUACACUGAACAUGAAUACAUUUUGAGGGAAGGUGAUCCAGUGGAUGAGAUGCAAUUUAUUCUCCAUGGUUCCUUGGAGAGUAUGACUACUGAUGGAGGCCGAAGUGGAUUCUUCAACAAGGUCCAGCUAAAGGAGGGUUCUUUCUGUGGCGACGAGCUGCUCACUUGGGCAUUGGAUCCCAAGUCUGGUGCUAACUUCCCGGUUUCGUCCAGGACAGUAAAGGCUCUUAGCGAGGUCGAGGCAUUCUCCCUGCGUGCCGACGAGCUGAAAUUUGUGGCCAGUCAGUUCAGGAGGCUGCACAGCAGGCAAGUUCAGCACACAUUCCGGUUUUACUCGCAGCAGUGGAGGACAUGGGGAGCCUGCUUCAUCCAGGCGGCCUGGCGCCGCUACUACAAGCGGAAAAUGGCCGAGCAGCGCCGGAGGGAAGAGGAGGCUGCGAACCGGCAGAGCAGCAGCAGCGGCCCGAGCCUGGGAGCGACCAUCUACGCGUCCCGGUUCGCGGCCAACGCUCUCCGGGGAGUCCACCGGCUUCGGAGCAAGGCUGCUGCUCUCCCCAUUGUGAGAGUGCCGAAGCCCUCCGAGCCAGAUUUUGGCGUCGACGUCGACGACGCGGACUAA